rnacentral:rRNA from 1 species
UACAGAGGUCUCAAGCGUUGUUCGGAUUCAUUGGGCGUAAAGGGUGCGUAGGCGGCGCGGUAGGUCGGGUGUGAAAUCUUGGAGCUUAACUCCGAAACUGCAUUCGAUACUGCCGUGCUUGAGGACUGGAGAGGAGACUGGAAUUUACGGUGUAGCGGUGAAAUGCGUAGAUAUCGUAAGGAAGACCAGUGGCGAAGGCGGGUCUCUGGACAGUUCCUGACGCUGAGACGCGAAAGCGUGGGGAGCAAACAGG